rnacentral:rRNA from 1 species
AUUGAACGCUGGCGGCAUGCCUUACACAUGCAAGUCGAACGGCAGCACGGACUUCGGUCUGGUGGCGAGUGGCGAACGGGUGAGUAAUACAUCGGAACGUGCCCAGUCAUGGGGGAUAACGAAGCGAAAGUUGUGCUAAUACCGCAUACGCCCUGAGGGGGAAAGGGGGGGAUCCCAAGACCUCAAGUUAUUGGAGCGGCCGAUGGCUGAUUAGAUAGUUGGUGAGGUAAAGGCUCACCAAGGCGACGAUCAGUAGCUGGUCUGAGAGGACGACCAGCCACACUGGGACUGAGACACGGCCCAGACUCCUACGGGAGGCAGCAGUGGGGAAUUUUGGACAAUGGGCGAAAGCCUGAUCCAGCAAUGCCGCGUGUGCGAAGAAGGCCUUCGGGUUGUAAAGUACUUUUGUCAGGGAAGAAAACUGUUUGGCUAAUACCCGAAUAGGAUGCCGGUACCUGAAGAAUAAGCACCGGCUAACUACGUGCCAGCCGCCGCCGUAA